rnacentral:rRNA from 1 species
AUUGAACGCUGGCGGCAUGCCUUACACAUGCAAAUCGAACGGUAACGGGCCUUCGGGUGCCGACGAGUGGCGCACGGGUGAGUAAUACAUCGGAACGUGCCCGAUCGUGGGGGAUAACGAGGCGAAAGCUUUGCUAAUACCGCAUACGAUCUACGGAUGACAGCAGGGGACCGCAAGGCCUUGCGCGGACGGAGCGGCCGAUGGCAGAUUAGGUAGUUGGUGGGAUAAAAGCUUACCAAGCCGACGAUCUGUAGCUGGUCUGAGAGGAUGAUCAGCCACACUGGGACUGAGACACGGCCCAGACUCCUACGGGAGGCAGCAGUGGGGAAUUUUGGACAAUGGGCGCAAGCCUGAUCCAGCCAUGCCGCGUGCAGGAUGAAGGCCUUCGGGUUGUAAACUGAUUUUGUACGGAAAGAAAAGCCUUCUUUUAAUACAGGAGGGUCAUGACGGUACCGGAAGAAUAAGCACCGGCUAACUACGUG